rnacentral:snoRNA from 1 species
UCUAGAGUCACAUCCCAACAGCUGUCGCCCUGAUAUGCUGGCAUCCUCAGAGAGCGUCUGCUGGUCUGGCUUCACUGACAAGGGAAAUCGGUGCCCCCCAGCAAUGCUCAGAUCAGAAACACAC